UACGUAGGGGGCUAGCGUUGUCCGGAAUCAUUGGGCGUAAAGAGCGUGUAGGCGGCCCGGUAAGUCCGCUGUGAAAGUCGGGGGCUCAACCCUCGAAUGCCGGUGGAUACUGUCGGGCUAGAGUGCGGAAGAGGCGAGUGGAAUUCCUGGUGUAACGGUGAAAUGCGUAGAUAUCAGGAGGAACACCAAUGGCGAAGGCAGCUCGCUGGAACGGUACUGACGCUGAGGCGCGAAAGCGUGGGGAGCGAACAGG
rnacentral:rRNA from 1 species